AAUAUCUGUGUGUCCCCCGAGCCUGACCCUUCCACUUUUUGAACAUUUGGGUUGCCCAUAAAUUGGAGUUGCCCUCUCGGUUCUUUAUCAUCAUUUGUGCUCUACGAGACAAAGCCUUUUUCAAAGCAAAGCAUUCAUUCUUCUCACUCAAUUUCUUACCUUAUUCUCUCUGUCGGUUAUGGCUGGGAAUUCAGCAAGCAAUAAUGGAAACCAGGAUGUGGUUUUAAAUGUUAAUGCUGAAGCCCCUAAAAAGCGUGAAGUAAUCAAAGAAACUGAAGACUGCGUGCCUCUUCUGAAGAAGUUUGUAGCAGAGCUGGUGGGGACCUACUUCUUGGUAUUUGCAGGGUGUGCUGCCAUUAUAGUGAACCUUAGCAAUGAUAAGGUGGUGACACUUCCCGGGAUUGCCAUGGUUUGGGGACUGGCUGUUAUGGUUUUGGUUCUAUCUAUUGGCCAUAUCUCUGGUGCUCAUCUCAACCCAGCUGUUACCCUUGCUCAUGCUACCACCAAAAGAUUCUCCUUCAAGCAGGUACCAGCUUAUUUACUUGCUCAAUUUGUUGGAGCCAUACUUGCAAGUGGAACUCUCAGACUCAUAUUUACUGGCAAGGAGAAUCAUUUUCCAGGAACACUUGCAUCUGGUUCUGAGCUGCAAGCUUUUGUGUUUGAAUUCAUUUCCACUUUCCAUCUCAUGUUUGCAAUUUCGGGAGUAUCCACAGACAACAGAGCUAUUGGUGAAAUGGCUGGACUUGCAAUUGGGGCUACGAUACUGCUAAAUGUGAUAAUUGCCGGACCAAUCACUGGAGCAUCGAUGAAUCCAGCAAGAAGCUUAGGACCUGCUAUUGUGCACAGCGAGUACAAAGGAAUAUGGAUAUAUUUGGUGUCACCAGUUCUAGGUGCUGUGGCGGGUACAUGGUCGUAUAAUUUCAUCAGGUACACCAACUACACUUUACAUCAGAAACCAAGAGCCCCUCAUUCCUAAGCGGAGGAGCUAAGUCUGGUAGCACCAAGUCUCAAGCCCAAUCAGUUAGGCUCAAGAGGACAAUAAAGUUAUCUAGUUUCUAGAGGAUUAUGUUUAAGGCCCAUUCGGUUAUGUUAUUUUGUCUUGUGUGAUUUUAUUUUACUAUCCAGAAUAUUCUACUUAAUGGAUGAUUGUCACAUGUAUGGUCAAUGGUCAUCCUUAUCUUAGGAAAUAUGGGCCUAUGUAGUGUAUGUUUAUUAUCUUUUUGAAAAUAAGAUGAAAAUUGAGGUAAAGCUCAGCCAAGAUUUCUAUCUUA